ACUGCCUGCUGGCAGACUGCGCCCAAAGCUGCUGACAUGCCUUCAGGGAGGAUGAUACACCUAAGAUUCCAGGAAUGGGGACUGGCUGGUUUCAGCUCCCAGGCCCUUGAAAUAACCUUGGGAAUAUUUGGGCCAAGAACUUAAUUCUCAGCUGGUGGACUAUCCUGGGGAGGAUGUUGCCAGAAACGGAUCCACUGGGCUGCAAGCCCAUACUUUGCACCUGGGUCAACUUCUACACGCACCUGCCUGCGCCCAGGCCUCAGUAUCCCCACCUGCCCAGCCCACAAGGGCGUGUAAGACCCACUCAGGAUGGGAACCGGCUUGGUCACAGAGGGACGGUUCGGGGGACUAAGUGGUGAAUCCUGGAGAGAGGGUGGCUGUGGGGGGCCCAGGAGGCUGAGCGCAGGCACACGGUGGGGACGGGAAUCCAUUCCCCACGGGAAGCCCCGGGCGCACCCCGCACCCCGCACCCCGCUCCCGGGCAG